rnacentral:rRNA from 1 species
UACGUAGGGUGCAAGCGUUGUCCGGAAUUAUUGGGCGUAAAGAGCUCGUAGGCGGUCUGUCGCGUCGGCUGUGAAAUCCCGAGGCUCAACCUCGGGUCUGCAGUCGAUACGGGCAAACUUGAGUGUUGCAGGGGAGACUGGAAUUCCUGGUGUAGCGGUGAAAUGCGCAGAUAUCAGGAGGAACACCGAUGGCGAAGGCAGGUCUCUGGGCCAUUACUGACGCUGAGAAGCGAAAGCAUGGGGAGCGAACAGG